rnacentral:rRNA from 1 species
GCCAAGACUAGCCCCAAGCGUAAUCAACACUAAUAACAAGUCAACACACACUAAACCAUUCACCUACACAAAGUAUAGGCGAUAGAAAUUCUAAUCUGGCGCUAUAGAUACAGUACCGUAAGGGAAAGAUAGAAAAACCACCCAAGCACAAAACAGCAAGGACUGACCCCUGUACCUUUCGCAUAAUGGAUUAGCUAGAGACAAUUUUACAAAGAGAACUACAAGCCAAAUUCCCCGAAACCAGACGAGCUACCCAAAAACAGCUAAAAGAGCGCACCCGUCUAUGUAGCAAAAUAGUGGGAAGAUUUUUGGGUAGAGGUGACAAGCCUACCGAGCCUGGUGAUAGCUGGUUAUCCAAGACAGAAUCUUAGUUCAACCUUAAGCUUACCUACAGAAUCACCUAAUCCCCCUGUAAGCUUAAUUGCUAGUCUAAAGAGGGACAGCUCUUUAGACACUAGGAAAAAACCUUACAGAGAGAGUAAAAACCCUAAUUACCAUAGUUGGCCUAAAAGCAGCCAUCAAUUAAGAAAGCGUUCAAGCUCAACAUCAACCACCUCAAAAAUACCAAACACAUAACUGAACUCCUCACAUCACAUUGGAUUAAUCUAUAGCCAUAUAGAAGCAAUAAUGCUAGUAUAAGUAACAUGAAUAUUUUCUCCACUGCAUAAGCCUAAAUCGGACCGAAAGCCUCACCGAUACUUAACAGCCAGGCAUAACAAACACAAACAAGUCCAUGUCACCUUCACUGUUAACCCAACACAGGCAUGCCUCAAGGAAAGGUUAAAAAAAGUAAAAGGAACUCGGCAAACUCAAACCCCGCCUGUUUACCAAAAACAUCACCUCUAGCAUUACUAGUAUUAGAGGCACUGCCUGCCCGGUGACACACGUUUAACGGCCGCGGUACCCUGAC